rnacentral:snRNA from 1 species
UUACUUACCUGACAGGGGAGAUACUAUGAUCAAGAAAGUGUGGGACUCUGCCAUUGCUCUCCAUUGGUGCUAUGGGAAUCUUGACUGCAUAAUUUCUGUUAGUGGUGGACUGUUUUUGCGCUCAUCCGUU